GUGGCGCUGGAAGGUUUCCCUAAUAGUUCCUGGUGAAUCAAAGCAGAACCAUAAAGGUUGCUGGACUGCAUGAUGGCCUUACCCCUGAGCAGUCAUCCUGUUAAAGGAGGAACCAGUUAGAAGCUGUUUUCAAAGUAGCUGAGCAGAUUUCAUCUCAAACAAAGCCGAUGGCAGAAGAUGUCGGAGAAGAACUUCAGGCCGUGGACUGAAAAGUAGAUCAAAGCAGCUCAUGCUCCUUCUGCUUCCAAUUUAGAAGAAGAAGAAGAAGAAGGCGAAGGCUUCAGCAAAGUGGCGUUCAUGGUCUCAGUGAACAGUCACGGUCACACACUGCAUGUGGUUUUAAAAGCAACAUGUCUGUUCACCACAACAAUGGAGAUGUGUAAUAUUAGUGCAGCUACGGUUUGUUCUUGAACAUCAGUUCUGUUUUCUACUUUGAUCACUUAGACCAAAAAAGUGUUGUUUUCAGAUUCUUUCUUUUACAUCUAUAAA
ensembl:lncRNA